GGUUGUUUGACCAAUACGACUUCAAAACAAAAAUCAUGAACGCUUCAAUUCUACUGUUUUGCUUGGUGGCGGCGUUCCUGGCCGUACUUGGGGCUGCCGUUCCGGCUGUCGAGAUGGCUGAGAACGAAGUAGCAGAACGUGCGCAGAGAGCUGCUAUGGAAGCACCGGGUUGCUUGUGGAUGGGAUGUAUCUAAGAAAAAUCUCCCCGGGCAGACGGUAAUA